UGUGGAUAAGCUGGAUAAGGUUAUGCACUGCUACUUUCUUUCAGAUUGUCUUAAGCUAGCUGCGAGUAGCUCUCAGGCAAGCAGGACCAGCAUUACUUUGUGCAACAACAACAAGAAGAAGAGGAAGGAGAAGAUGUUAACUCUUGCUGUGGGGUCUUCAUCAGCUGCCAUGGUGUCCAAGGUUUCCACGCAUGGCAAAGCCUUGGCUCACCUUCCAACCACACACUUUGGCUUCCAAGGAUCACAACCACCAUCGCAUCUGUUUAUACCCACCAGACCCUUUUCCUCCUUUAAGACUGCUGUUGCUGCUGUUGACUCAAAUGACCUCAGUUCAUCAUCUACAAAUCAUCCUGACAAGCAACAGGCCAACAAGUAUUAUUUUGCUGUUGCAAAUGCAAAAUUCAUGCUGGAUG
rnacentral:misc_RNA from 1 species